rnacentral:rRNA from 1 species
AUGGCAGCAGAGAAGGCACCGGGCCCGGACGGUUUCAUUGGGCUUUUCUUCAAAAGAUGUUGGCACACGAUUAAGGUGGAUUUGCUGAAUGCCCUUAACCAGCUCUCUGCCCUUGAUGCUAGAAACUGGAACCUGUUGAACUCUGCAUUCAUUGUCCUAAUCCCGAAGAAAGAAAAUGCUCUACGCGCUGCUGAUUAUCGCCCAAUAAGUCUUUCCCACAGUGUUGCUAAGAUCCUGGGAAAACUCCUUGCCAAUAGACUGGCGCCAACUAUGCAGCAUCUAAUAUCUAUGAGCCAAAGUGCCUUCCUCAAAGGAAGAUCGAUCCAAGACAAU